AUUUUGUUUUCAAGGUGUUUUGUAGUUAUGAAAGGAUCCAUCAAGCUUGCCUUUAAAAAAAGGUUAUCUGAGACCACCGCCUCUGGUGUUUCAACAAUUGUUGGAGGAGAGAGUCUCUCUGAUGGUGAAUGGUGAAUGAGAUGAGGAGUACUCAGAAGGUGGAAUUCAGGGCAUGGAUGACAUCACAGAGGACACGCUCCGACAGUUGGACCCAAGGUUUUCUGUCAUCAGUAGCCUGCCGGACAUUACAACAGCUAAGGCCUGAACUACUCUCGUGUUGCAAACUCAAUUCAGCAGAGGUCAAGGACACUGCCCGAUCAAGAUUGGAGUGACACGAACCAGUGCUGGAAUACUGGACAAACCAUGCAUAUAUCUUAUGCGUGCAUAUCUUAUGUUUUGAAAAACUUGUAAUUGGUUUUAUAUUUCUUGCUUUAAAUAUAAAAUCAAUGAACAAGCGUUAUAUAGGCACUGAUGUUUAUGAACUCAAAGGAGAUAUGAAAUGUAACACUGAUUUCUGUGUGGCAAUUGUGAAGAAGGAAUGAUUCAUUUUCAUUUCUUCAUUUAGAACAAUUGAACAAUUUCAAAAUGGUAGCGGUAAAUGUGCAGACG